CACGAAUUGAGCUCGGCCUGCUGGAGAGCGGCCCAUAGCUACCAACUACUGCAACCUUCCCACGCCCCGACCAGAGACAGGGAAAGCCGGUUGAACAUGGAAGCAGUGUUCUAGCAGUCGCAUCACAUUGGAACAGAGUCCAUCCUCACGUGUUUGUAGGAGCUGAAGAAGAGGAUGGAGCACACAGACCGACAAGGAGGAGAGACAUGGCUCCUCUAUUUCUCCUUCCAACGUUCUGGAGUAAAAAAACAUUGACGACCCCACAGCUAAACCAUCAGUCUGCUACACCCAGUAGAAGAAGAUGAGGUCAUCUGCUCCUUGGACCGGCGCCUCUGUGUCUGUUGGACGUCUUCUGUCCUGAUAAAGACCCGCUCAGCUGCAGUAGAUGGGCACUGACAUGGAGCUGCUGGAGGUUCCUUCCUGUUUGAAGCUAGUUUUCCUCUCUACUGUCACCACUUCAUUGCUCAGGAGGGACUGCUGCAAAAUUAACGACUGGAUGUGAUUGGCUGAGCUUCCUUGGAUUGAAGACGUUUCUCUGAAUGCCAUGAUAAACUCAAUUUAUCUUCACCAUGUUGUAAAUAGGAUCUAAUUGGAUGUUUGUGUUUACAGUAGAUGUGAUUCUGUGUUUGUGUUGACUUCUGUUACAUGUUCCCGUAUUAAAAUCGUCACGUUCAUUGCCUUUAGAUGACAUUUGCUGGGACUUGUUUCUAUUUUAAGACUGAUUUAUAUUAAAUCCCCUCACUGGGUCUGGUUCUGUUGAAGUAUGCUUCCUGUCGUUCUAUCUUCACCUGUUAUUUCUCACUAUAAUAAAGGUUUGAUUGCAGUAAUGUGAACAGGAUCUGUUUGUAUUUUCUGGUAAAGUAUCUUGAAAUAAGUUUUUGUAAAUUGGUUCUUUAUAAAUAAACCAAACUGAAGUCAA